GGAUGAAGAAGAAAUGAGAAAUAAAGGUGGAAUAGGAGAAGCUGCCAAGGUGUAAUAUUUAGGAUGAGUUUGUGCAGCUGUGUGGCAUUGAGGAGUGCCGGGAGAAGAAUUUCGGGUGAGUGUGAGCUUCUUUACAUCAACACUCGAGAGUAAUACUACUGCCAGUGCCGGCCAUGCAGGGUACAGACUCGUGUCAGAAAGUUCAAGUGUGAAGACGUUGACGAGUACGUGGAGUCGCCCAGAUCCUCUCCCUGUGGACCAUCCCCUCAGCAGUGUUUGAUCCGCCCAGCAGCAGCAACGGUCAUGAGAAGGCGGUCAUUGAAGUGUUAAGUCCCCAAGCUGGCAUGGUGGUGGG